rnacentral:other from 2 species
CCAAGCCUGGGAUGUUUGCUUGUUAGCGUAAUCCCUGAGCCGAUAACGUUACACCCGGAGGCGGCUCGCGUAUGUUGGUGUGCAUGUCCGCGCGACGGAAAGCCUAAUACAUAUCAGCUCCCUCCCCCUUGAACUGUCGGGUUCAAGGUAAAGUUAACGGCGGCAUUUCCGGGCACUUU